rnacentral:sRNA from 1 species
UCCCCGUGUGGUGUCGGGUAUCUUACG